ensembl:lncRNA
UGAUUGUUAAGGCAAUACUGUGGGCAAUAUGUAAGGAAAUCCGGAGGGGAAUAGAACAUAUUUAUUAUAAUGGAUGGGAUGUGAGUUACAACUUUGCAAAUGUCUGUAGCAUGAGAAUGAAGUUGGAAGCUGUCAUUCUUUGCAAAUCUUUAGUCCAGGAUGGUGUUUGUUUCCAAGUGAAAUUACCCAGUGAAAACAUAAAAACACAUUUUCUUUGGCUUUUUGUGAAACUGUAAAAGAUUAUCUUGACAUUAGAUUGACUUUCACAUCAGAAGGAAAACAAGUAUGCAAUUAAACAAAUGAGAAAGUGAAAGAAACAACUUUCUUCUCGCAUGUAAAAAAAACACACCCAGAUAGAUGUUAUAAACAAAGACAAGACAUUACAACACACAGUCGUAUUCAACUACAAGAGCGACAUCAUGAUCUGCCUUGAUGUGAUAGACCAUACAAUGUACAAAACAAGAAUCAAUGUGGCUGAUACACAUGGGACAGUGGGACAGCUAAAGCAAGACAUUUUCAAGAUCCUACCGAAGACUUCAGGUCUUAGUGAGGAGUCUGUGAGGCUGACAGUCAAAAGCAAGAUAAUGGAGGACAAUGAACCACUAUCAUCAUACCCUGUGGAUCACAUGUCUGUCAUUCACCUGGUGCUGCAGGUACAUGGGGGAUAGAGUGAAUAACCACCUUCCCCGUCUGGCAUUGAUACUUCUACCCUGCCAGUCCUUCUGUGGAGCCUGACUCAUCUUGAGGUUUCGUCUUCGGUUACGGAUGUUCUGUGGACUCUUCUACCUACUGUGAUUCAACAUUUCCAUUGUUUGCUCUUAGGAGGUUUUAAGUUGAUUCUCAGCGUGAGCAUUUUGUUAUUACUGCUGAUGCUAAAAGGGCUUUAUAAAAUCCAUAUCAUCAAUUGAUUGUGUGAUGAAGUCUAUUCCUGUUGGUCAUAUGGCCCCAGGUUGAGAAUGACGGAAACAACUGAUGUCCAAAGGAACAAACCUGCAUGAAUAAUAAAUACUUUGUUCAUUGAGAAAGUUAUUUGUAAAUUGAUGUAACCCAUUGAAUUGUAAUUUAGUUUUCUAUGGUAAUACUGCUGCUUUUAAAUUUCACUCCUGUCUCUGUAUGAAAAUAAAAUUAUACUGACAUAAUUCGACCUUCUCUUGUGUAUUAUUCUGUUGAUAUUUGAAAGACAAUUAUUAAUAAAAUUUGCCUUUGGCCAAUGGCGGCCUACCGUAGAACUCUGGAUGAUAUAAGUACAGUAAUUAUUGUGGUG